rnacentral:lncRNA from 10 species
GGAGCCAAGGCAGAGGAGGCGCUGAGAGUGAGCAAGGGCUGUGAGGACUGCCAGCACGCUGUCACCUCUCAGUAACAGUAAGAAGAGAGAGGAGGACAUCUAAUUCUGGAAGAAAUGUGCCCAUUCGGAAACUACCUUGACCGAUAAGAGCAGAAAGCCCCGGAAGAAUAUUCACCGGACUUCUCUGGGGGAAGGAUUACAGGACUGCACGAGAACAUUCAGGAAUUGCUAACCUCUGGGAGAAGUUUGGAUCAUGGUUCCUGCCCUCAGCCAUGGCUUUGGCAUCAGCACCCUCUGUCAAGAGAAAUGGCUCAUUUCCCUUUGUCCCACAAAGUCAACUUAAAAAAAAAUGACCUAAUUCAGCAAAAUUAGUCAUUGGCUACCUUCAUAUACAGGAGCUAUGGGAGUGGGAGGUACCAAAGAAGAAGCUGUGGCUCUCACCAUGUUGGAGUUCAAGGAGGGUGAUGGCCAUCGGGGGUGCCAGCUUUGGGAGUGUCCCUCUGAAAAUGAGUCCUUCCCAGUAUCAUCCACCCCAUGGAGUGAUACUCCAGGGUGUCUGUCUCCUUAUGCCCAUGUGACUGGGUGGUACACACCCUGGAGUGAGGAGGUGGUCCUCACAGAGGUCCUUUAGGUCAGGAUUCCCAGAGGGUCCGCCCAGAAGUCCCUUUAGCUCCACCUCCCUGAAGGUCCUGGGAUAGGGCUCUGCCCAUACUGAGGGCUCAGUGAUCUCAGCACGAUACUUGGGCAAAAUGUGCUUACCUCAUCUACACCCUCUAAAUUUUUAGGAGGCACCCACUUGCUGCAAUGCAUUACUCAGCAUUGUGGGGUUCUUUUCUCACAUGCUUUGACUGGCAGGGAGUUCACUGCCUUGGUAAAGAGAUACAGUCAGUUAACUAGGGAACAAGGUACCCCCUGCCUCCCCAACCCUGCCUUUUUUUGAGACAGGGUCUUUCUCUGUUGCCCAGGCUGGAGUGCAGUCUUGUGAUCAUAGCUCACUGCAGCCUCAAUCUCCUGGGCUCAGGUGAUUCUCCCACCUCAGCCUCUUGAGUAGCUGGGACUACAGGCGUGUGCCACUAUGUCUAGGUAAUUUUUAAAUGUUUUGUAGCGGGGGGGAUCUUACUAUAUUGCCCAGGCUGGUCUCAAACUCCUGGGCUCAAGGAAUCCUCCCACCUCAGCCUCCCAAAGCACUGGGAUUACGAGCAUGAGCCGCCCAGCCCUGCUUCUUUUUUACCCUUCUCUAUGACAUGUAUCACCAAAU